rnacentral:rRNA from 1 species
GAUGAACGCUGGCGGCGUGCCUAAUACAUGCAAGUCGAGCGAACGGACGAGAAGCUUGCUUCUCUGAUGUUAGCGGCGGACGGGUGAGUAACACGUGGAUAACCUACCUAUAAGACUGGGAUAACUUCGGGAAACCGGAUCUAAUACCGGAUGAUAUUUUGAACCGCAUUGUUCAAAAGUGAAAGACGGUCUUGCUGUCACUUAUAGAUGGAUCCGCGCUGCAUUAGCUAGUUGUUAAGGUAACGGCUUACCAAGGCAACGAUGCAUAGCCGACCUGAGAGGGUGAUCGGCCACACUGGAACUGAGACACGGUCCAGACUCCUACGGGAGGCAGCAGUAGGGAAUCUUACGCAAUGGGGGAAAGCCUGACGGAGCAACGCCGCGUGAGUGAUGAAGGUCUUCGGAUCGGAAAACUCUGUUAUUAGGGAAGAACAUAUGUGUAAGUAACUGUGCACAUCUUGACGGUACCUAAUCAGAAAGCCACGGCUAACUACGUG